CACGUAGGGGGCAAGCGUUGUCCGGAUUCAUUGGGCGUAAAGAGCUCGUAGGCGGUUCGAUAAGUCGGGUGUAAAACCUCCAGGCUCAACCUGGAGACGCCACCCGAUACUGUCGUGACUAGAGUCCAGUAGGGGAGCGUGGAAUUCCUGGUGUAGCGGUGAAAUGCGCAGAUAUCAGGAGGAACACCAGCGGCGAAGGCGGCGCUCUGGGCUGGAACUGACGCUGAGGAGCGAAAGCGUGGGGAGCGAACAGG
rnacentral:rRNA from 1 species